rnacentral:rRNA from 1 species
UACGUAGGGUGCAAGCGUUAAUCGGAAUUACUGGGCGUAAAGCGUGCGCAGGCGGUUUUGUAAGUCUGUCGUGAAAUCCCCGGGCUUAACCUGGGAAUGGCGAUGGAGACUGCAAGGCUAGAGUUUGGCAGAGGGGGGUAGAAUUCCACGUGUAGCAGUGAAAUGCGUAGAGAUGUGGAGGAACACCGAUGGCGAAGGCAGCCCCCUGGGUCAAAACUGACGCUCAUGCACGGAAGCGUGGGGAGCAAACAGG